GUGGAACAGGAUUCCUCAGGGCCUGUUAGUCCUGUCCAUCUUCCGGGCUCUCUCUGACUGCCAGUCCUGCCUGCGCAACCUAAGCCCUUAGUGGAGCUCUUCUCCCAUAGCCAGAGUCAGCAUUAAAGCACACUUAGGGAAACUGAGGCAAAGGGGCAUGCACUUAAGAGAAAUGUGGAAAUUGAAUCUAGGGGACUGGAUUCCUUGCAGAGAUAGCCACUGUUCCCACUCUAGCCAAGUAAGAAAGUAGUUGAAGUAGGACAAGGGGAAGAAACUCAAACGCCUUCUACCCUGAGGUUCAAUUUCCUCAUCUGUCAAAUGGAUAUAAUAAUCUUUCACCUUCCUAUCUUGCUGGUUGAUGUGAGGCUUAAAUGAGGUGAUAUAUGAGAAGACUCUUUAUAAAAGGCAGAGCACUAGACAAAUAUGAGCGCCAGUGCAUCUGAGUCAGGAUUUAAGCAGAAUCCAUGGGGCCAUGCGAUCCAUUGGUGGCCAGAAAGGACUUCAUUAUGCUCUGCUUCCAGCAGGACCUUUGGAGGAGGCAGAGAGGGAACUCUGUCAGUUUUGCUGGGGCAGUGCAUUCCUUUGUGUAGUGUUCCUAGGGAUGGAGGCAGCCUCUGACCCUGGGAAUCUACAGCGGGAGUUGGAGGACAGAGUGGUACUAAGAGGCUUAGGCUUCUUGGCUGCUGCUCCAACCAGCAUGACUGGACAUGGUCCCAUCAUGGGUGAUGAGUUUACUUUGAGAUGACUUCCCAGGGAGAUACUUUUAUGUUGGUGUUAGAAGAGGGGAAGACUAUGGAUUGGUAGAGAGAGAAU